rnacentral:rRNA from 1 species
UACGUAGGGUGCAAGCGUUGUCCGGAAUUAUUGGGCGUAAAGAGCUCGUAGGCGGUGUGUCGCGUCUGCUGUGAAAACUCAGGGCUCAACUCUGAGCUUGCAGUGGGUACGGGCACACUAGAGUGCUGUAGGGGAGACUGGAAUUCCUGGUGUAGCGGUGAAAUGCGCAGAUAUCAGGAGGAACACCGGUGGCGAAGGCGGGUCUCUGGGCAGUUACUGACGCUGGAGGAGCGAAAGCAUGGGGAGCGAACAGG